rnacentral:rRNA from 1 species
CCUACGGGACGCACCAGUGGGGAAUAUUGCACAAUGGGCGCAAGCCUGAUGCAGCCAUGCCGCGUGUAUGAAGAAGGCCUUCGGGUUGUAAAGUACUUUCAACGGGGAGGAAGGUGUUGUGGUUAAUAACCACAGCAAUUGACGUUACCCGCAGAAGAAGCACCGGCUAACUCCGUGCCAGCAGCCGCGGUAAUACGGAGGGUGCAAGCGUUAAUCGGAAUUACUGGGCGUAAAGCGCACGCAGGCGGUCUGUCAAGUCGGAUGUGAAAUCCCCGGGCUCAACCUGGGGACUGCAUUCGAAACUGGCAGGCUAGAGUCUUGUAGAGGGGGGUAGAAUUCCAGGUGUGGCGGUGAAAUGCGUAGAGAUCUGGAGGAAUACCGGUGGCGAAGGCGGCCCCCUGGACAAAGACUGACGCUCAGGUGCGAAAGCGUGGGGAGCAAACAGGAUUAGAUACCCUCGUAG